rnacentral:rRNA from 1 species
CCUACGGGGGGCUGCAGUGGGGAAUAUUGCACAAUGGGGGAAACCCUGAUGCAGCGACGCCGCGUGAGGGAAGAAGUAAUUCGUUAUGGAAAGCUCGAUCAGCAGGGAAGAAAAGGACGGUACCUGAGUAAGAAGCCCCGGCGAACUACGUGCCAGCAGCCGCGGUAAUACGUAGGGGGCAAGCGUUAUCCGGAUUUACUGGGUGUCAAGGGAGCGUAGACGGCAGUGCAAGUCUGGAGGGAAAGGCGGGGGCUCAACCCCCGGACUGCUCUGGAAACUGUCCGGCUGGAGUGCAGGAGAGGUAAGUGCCAUUCCUCUUGUAGCGGUGCAAUGCGUAGAUAUUAGGCGGAAC